AUUGAACGCUGGCGGCAGGCCUAACACAUGCAAGUCGAGCGGAGCGGCGGACGGGUGAUUAAUGCCUAGGAAUUUGCCUGUUAGUGGGGUACAACUUCCGGUAACGGGCCCUAUUACCGCAUACUAGCAGAUGACCUUCGGUGGGAUUAGCUAGUUGGUGGGGUAAAGGCCUACCAAGGCGACGAUCCGUAACCGGUCUGAGAGGAUGAUCAGUCACACUGGAACUGAGACACGGUCCAGACUCCUACGGGAGGCAGCAGUAGGGAAUAUUGGACAAUGGGCGAAAGUCUGACCCAGCCAUGCCGCGUGAGUGAAGAAGGUCUUCGGAUUGUAAAGCACUUUUAGUUGGGAAGCGUUACCAACAGAAUAAGCACCGGCUAACUUCGUGCCAGCAGCCGCGGUAAUAC
rnacentral:rRNA from 1 species